CCCUAGCCCAGAUUGCAGCAUUUGUUUGAGCUCAUUUUAUGGGUUUUCGGGGGCUGCGGCAAAGCCGCAGCCCCCGAAAACCCAUAAAAUAGCGAGUGCGGAAAGCUGGAAAAAGC
rnacentral:misc_RNA from 1 species